AACGAACGCUGGCGGCAGGCUUUACACAUGCAAGUCGAGCGAACCCCUCGGGGUGAGCGGCAGACGGGUGAGGAACACGUGGGAAUAUACCUUUUAGUAUGGAAUAACUCAGGGAAACUUGUGCUAAUACCAUAUACGCCCUUUCAAGGGGAAAGAUUUAUCGCUAAAAGAUUAGCCCGCGUCUGAUUAGCUAGUUGGUGAGGUAAUGGCUCACCAAGGCGACGAUCAGUAGCUGGUCUGAGAGGAUGAUCAGCUACAUUGGGACUGAGACACGGCCCAAACUCCUACGGGAGGCAGCAGUGGGGAAUAUUGGACAAUGGGCGAAAGCCUGAUCCAGCCAUGCCGCGUGAGUGAUGAAGGCCUUAGGGUUGUAAAACUCUUUUACCCGGGAAGAUAAUGACUGUACCGGGAGAAUAAGCUCCGGCUAACUUCGUGCCAGCAGCCGCCGUAA
rnacentral:rRNA from 1 species